UGGGGAAUAUUGGACAAUGGGCGCAAGCCUGAUCCAGCCAUGCCGCGUGUGGGAAGAAGGCCUUCGGGUUGUAAACCACUUUUGUCAGGGAAGAAACGGCCUGAUCUAAUACAUUGGGUUAAUGACGGUACCUGAAGAAAAAGCACCGGCUAACUACGUGCCAGCAGCCGCGGUAAUACGUAGGGUGCGAGCGUUACUCGGAAUUACUGGGCGUAAAGCGCGUGUAGGUGGCUUGUUAAGUCCGAUGUGAAAUCUCCGGGCUUAACUCGGAACGGUCAGAUGAUACUGCUUUGCUAGAGUGCAGAAGGGGCAAUCGGAAUUCUUGGUGUAGCGGUGAAAUGCGUAGAUAUCAAGAGGAACACCUGAGGUGAAGACGGGUUGCUGGGCUGACACUGACGCUGAGGCGCGAAAGCCAGGGGAGCAAA
rnacentral:rRNA from 1 species